AUUGAACGCUGGCGGCAGGCCUAACACAUGCAAGUCGAACGGUAACAGAAAGCAGCUUGCUGCUUUGCUGACGAGUGGCGGACGGGUGAGUAAUGUCUGGGAAACUGCCUGAUGGAGGGGGAUAACUACUGGAAACGGUAGCUAAUACCGCAUAACGUCGCAAGACCAAAGAGGGGGACCUUCGGGCCUCUUGCCAUCGGAUGUGCCCAGAUGGGAUUAGCUUGUUGGUGGGGUAACGGCUCACCAAGGCGACGAUCCCUAGCUGGUCUGAGAGGAUGACCAGCCACACUGGAACUGAGACACGGUCCAGACUCCUACGGGAGGCAGCAGUGGGGAAUAUUGCACAAUGGGCGCAAGCCUGAUGCAGCCAUGCCGCGUGUAUGAAGAAGGCCUUCGGGUUGUAAAGUACUUUCAGCGGGGGAAGAAUGGA
rnacentral:rRNA from 1 species